rnacentral:misc_RNA from 1 species
UAAGGAGCACCAUCCACCGAAAGGGUAUGGAGCCCGCACUGCCCGAAUGUGGUGGUGGGGUGCUCAGAUGGCGGAGACACUGGCGAGCUUUCCUCUGGCAACGGCCGGGAUACCUAGUACAGCCACUUCGGUGGUGGGAACGGUUCCUCCUGGUGCGGCUGGGUGGGGGCGUAUAGCACCCUGUUGGGUCCUGAAGGAACAACCUCAGGUUGUUGUUUCAGUGCCUUGUGGUGGGCGGGAGCCUGCUGGAGGUUGCCAGGCAUGGCCUGGUUCUCGCAUACCGGAUUCUGUCUCUGCUUGUGGGCGGGGUGGGGUUGCUGGUGUGGGGCUUUGGGGUUGUGGGUUGGUUGUUUGCUGAGAAUUGCACAGUGGACGCGAGCAUCUUUGUGGUCAA